CGGUCGUCGGAGAGAGUAA
rnacentral:snRNA from 1 species